rnacentral:rRNA from 1 species
GACGAACGCUGGCGGCGUGCUUAACACAUGCAAGUCGAACGGAAAGGCCCUGCUUUUGUGGGGUGCUCGAGUGGCGAACGGGUGAGUAACACGUGAGUAACCUGCCCUUGACUUUGGGAUAACUUCAGGAAACUGGGGCUAAUACCGGAUAGGAGCUCCUGCUGCAUGGUGGGGGUUGGAAAGUUUCGGCGGUUGGGGAUGGACUCGCGGCUUAUCAGCUUGUUGGUUGGGUAGUGGCUUACCAAGGCUUUGACGGGUAGCCGGCCUGAGAGGGUGACCGGCCAAAUUGGGACUGAGAUACGGCCCAGACUCCGACGGGAGGCAGCAGUGGGGAAUAUUGCACAAUGGGCGGAAGCCUGAUGCAGCAACGCCGCGUGCGGGAUGACGGCCUUCGGGUUGUAAACCGCUUUAGCCUGUGACGAAGCGUGAGUGACGGUAAUGGGUAAAGAAGCACCGGCUAACUACGUG